UUUCAGCUAGACUCCUGCGACCUUUGCUGGGUUUCUUAUAAUGAAGUUUCUUGUGUGUGUUUAUGAUAAUUAGAAUUAAGAGGAUUUGAAGAUGGUCCUUGAAUUUUUUAUUAUUAGGCCCUGUUUGGUAACCAUCCUAAUAGUAAUUGAUUAUGAUUUUUUGUUCCCGAGAGCAGUUUGGGAACAAAAUCAUGUUUGGUAAAAUUUUUGUUCCUGGGAAAAGAUUUGGA
rnacentral:lncRNA from 1 species